rnacentral:rRNA from 1 species
UACGUAGGGUGCAAGCGUUAAUCGGAAUUACUGGGCGUAAAGCGUGCGCAGGCGGUUCGCUAAGACAGAUGUGAAAUCCCCGGGCCUAACCUGGGAACUGCAUUUGUGACUGGCGGGCUAGAGUAUGGCAGAGGGGGGUAGAAUUCCACGUGUAGCAGUGAGAUGCGUAGAGAUGUGGAGGAAUACCGAUGGCGAAGGCAGCCCCCUGGGCCAAUACUGACGCUCAUGCACGAAAGCGUGGGGAGCAAACAGG